AGAGUUUGAUCCUGGCUCAGAGCGAACGCUGGCGGCAGGCUUAACACAUGCAAGUCGAGCGGGCGUAGCAAUACGUCAGCGGCAGACGGGUGAGUAACGCGUGGGAACAUACCUUUUGGUUCGGAACAACACAGGGAAACUUGUGCUAAUACCGGAUAAGCCCUUACGGGGAAAGAUUUAUCGCCGAAAGAUUGGCCCGCGUCUGAUUAGCUAGUUGGUGAGGUAACGGCUCACCAAGGCGACGAUCAGUAGCUGGUCUGAGAGGAUGAUCAGCCACAUUGGGACUGAGACACGGCCCAAACUCCUACGGGAGGCAGCAGUGGGGAAUAUUGGACAAUGGGCGCAAGCCUGAUCCAGCCAUGCCGCGUGAGUGAUGAAGGCCCUAGGGUUGUAAAGCUCUUUUGUGCGGGAAGAUAAUGACGGUACCGCAAGAAUAAGC
rnacentral:rRNA from 1 species